AGUAGUUUGAUCAGUGGCUCAGACGAACGCUGGCGGCGUGCUUAACACAUGCAAGUCGAACGGGCACUUCGGUGCUAGUGGCGAACGGGUGAGUAAAGCGCAGGUAAUCUGCCGCGAAGUCGGGGACAACGUUGCGAAAGUGACGCUAAUACCGGAUGUUGUGAAUUGUUCGCAUGGGUGAUUCACUAAAGAUUUAUCGCUUCGCGAGGAGCCUGCGUCCGAUUAGGUAGUUGGUUGGGUAAGAGCCUACCAAGCCGACGAUCGGUAGCCGGUCUGAGAGGAUGAACGGCCACAAUGGAACUGAGACACGGUCCAUACUCC
rnacentral:rRNA from 1 species